AGAGUUUGAUCAUGGCUCAGGACGAACGCUGGCGGCGUGCCUAAAACAUGCAAGUCGAACGCGAUGGCCCUUCGGGGCCUGGGAGUGGCGAACGGCGGAGUAAUACGUAAGCAACGUGCCCUGAAGUCUGGGAUAUACCGGGGAAACCCGGGGCAAUACCGGAUGUGGUCACUGCCUGGCAUCAGGCGGUGAUUAAACGGUUUUUCGCUUCAGGAGCGGCUUACGGCCUAUCAGCUAGUUGGCGGGGUAAUGGCCCACCAAGGCUUCGACGGGUAACUGGUCUGAGAGGACGACCAGUCCGAGUGGGACUGAGACACGGCCCACACACCUACGGGUGGCAGCAGUUGGGAAUCUUGCACAAUGGGGGCAACCCUGAUGCAGCGACGCCGCGUGGAGGACGAAGGAUUUAGGUCUGUAAACUCCUUUUGCCAGGAAGGACUUAGGACGGUACCUGGCGAAUAGUC
rnacentral:rRNA from 1 species